CGGAACACGUACACAACCUUCCUUUUGGUGGGGGAUAGCGCAGAGAAAUUUGCAUUAAUACCCCAUAGUAUGAUACGGAAGCAUUUCUGUGUCAUUAAAGAUUUAUUGCCAGGAGAUGGGUGUGCGUCUGAUUAGGUAGUUGGUGCGGGUAACGGCCUACCAAGCCUUCGAUCAGUAACUGGUGUGAGAGCACGACCAGUCACACGGGCACUGAGACACGGGCCCG
rnacentral:rRNA from 1 species